GACGAACGCUGGCGGCGUGCCUAAUACAUGCAAGUAGAACGCUGAAGGAGGAGCUUGCUUCUCUGGAUGAGUUGCGAACGGGUGAGUAACGCGUAGGUAACCUGCCUGGUAGCGGGGGAGAACUAUUGGAAACGAUAGCUAAUACCGCAUAAUAGUAGAUGUUGCAUGACAUUUGCUUAAAAGGUGCAAUUUCAUCACUACCAGAUGGACCUGCGUUGUAUUAGCUAGUUGGUGAGGUAACGGCUCACCAAGGCAACGAUACAUAGCCGACCUGAGAGGGUGAUCGGCCACACUGGGACUGAGACACGGCCCAGACUCCUACGGGAGGCAGCAGUAGGGAAUCCUCGGCAAUGGACGGAAGUCUGACCGAGCAACGCCGCGUGAGUGAAGAAGGUUUUCGGAUCGUAAAGCUCUGUUGUAAGAGAAGAACGAGUGUGAGAGUGGAAAGUUCACACUGUGACGGUAUCUUACCAGAAAGGGACGGCUAACUACGUG
rnacentral:rRNA from 1 species